GGAGAGAUGGCCGAGUGGUCGAAGGCACGCGCUUGCUAAGCGCGCGUAGGGCAAAACUCUACCGAGGGUUCGAAUCCCUCUCUCUCCGCCA
rnacentral:tRNA from 1 species